GCCGAAGUCGCCUAAUCCGGUAGGGCGGCGGAUUGCUAAUCCGUUGUCAGCAAUGACUUAGGGGUUCAAAUCCCCUCUUCGGCG
rnacentral:tRNA from 1 species